CAAAAGAAAUAUCACGGAAUGUCGGUGACGGAGAUAAAAUGCACAAGAUUUUAUAUGCAAGUAUAAAUAAAUAAGCCCUACACCUGUCGUCCUUCGUGAAAAGCUAGUGGUCCCGUUCCUGGAGCGCCUGAAUCAGGUUUGUGGCAACCUUGCAUCAAGCAAGCCCAUCGGUCCCGUUUUUCUAACAGCGUUUUUUCACUUUGUGUCUCCUCAUCCCCUUUUGGUGAUUCUCAAAGAAUUAGAAGUGAAGCCUGAAGAUGGGACUGAAUUGCUGCAACCUCAUGAAAAAAAAAAAAAACUAAUGGUUGAGGAGUUGCUUCCUUACGGAUGAGCAAAGAAAAUGGUUUCUUGAGAUAGAAGCUACUCCUGGUGAAGAUGCCGUGAAGACUGUUGAAAUGACAACGAAGGAUUUAGAACACAAGAUAAACUCAGCUGGACAGAAUUUGAGAGGACUGAUUCCGGUGUUGAAAGAGGUGCUACUGUGGAUAGAUUGCUAUCAAACAGCUGUGCCUGCUUAGAGAGAAAUGAUUCAGGAAAGGAAGUCAAUCGAUGUGGCCCACUUCACUAAUGUCUUAUUUUAAGAAAUUGCCACAGCCGCCGCAACCUUCAGCCACCAGCACCCUGAUCAAUCAGCUGCCAUCAAGAUGCCAGUCACUUGAAAUAAAUUUCCUUUUCUUUAUGGCUAUGUGACCAA